rnacentral:rRNA from 1 species
UACGUAGGGGGCAAGCGUUGUCCGGAAUCAUUGGGCGUAAAGAGCGCGUAGGCGGCCCGGUAAGUCCGCUGUGAAAGUCAAGGGCUCAACCCUUGAAUGCCGGUGGAUACUGUCGGGCUAGAGUCCGGAAGAGGCGAGUGGAAUUCCUGGUGUAGCGGUGAAAUGCGCAGAUAUCAGGAGGAACACCGGUGGCGAAAGGCGGGUCUCUGGGCCGAAACUGACGCUGAGGAGCGAAAGCGUGGGGAGCGAACAGG